rnacentral:rRNA from 1 species
GGCCAGCAGCCGCGGUAAUUCCAGCUCCAAUAGCGUAUACUAAAAUUGUUGCGGUUAAAAAGCUCGUAGUUGCAUUUGUGCGCCGCGCUGUCGGUGCACCGCAUCCGCGGUGAUACUGACACGUCUGCGGAGCAUAUCGUCGGUGAGCCGGCGGUAAUACGCCGGUUCAAUAUCAAAAUCCUAUCGCGGUGCUCUUCGGUGAGUGUCGAGGUGGGCCGACAAUUUUACUUUGAACAAAUUAGAGUGCUCAAAGCGGGCUCAAAAUGCUGCUUGAAUAUUUCGUGCAUGGAAUAAUAGAAUAUGAUCUCGGUUCUAUUUUGUUGGUUUUCAGAACUCCGAGGUAAUGAUUAAUAGGGAUAACUGGGGGCAUUCGUAUUGCGACGUUAGAGGUGAAAUUCUUGGAUCGUCGCAAGACGAACAUCAGCGAAAGCAUUUGCCAAAGGUGUUUUCAUCAAUCAAGAACGAAAGUUAGAGGUUCGAAGGCGAUUAGAUACCGCCCUAGUUCUAACCGUAAAUAUGUCAUCUAGCGAUCCGCCGACGUUACUACAAUGGCUCGGCGGGCAGCUUCCGGGAAACCAAAGAUUUUGGACUCCGGGGGGAGUAUGGUUGCAAAGCUGAAACUUAAAGGANUNG